GACGAACGCUGGCGGCGUGCUUAACACAUGCAAGUCGAACGGAAAGGCCCUGCUUUUGUGGGGUGCUCGAGUGGCGAACGGGUGAGUAACACGUGAGUAACCUGCCCUUGACUUUGGGAUAACUUCAGGAAACUGGGGCUAAUACCGGAUAGGAGCUCCUGCUGCAUGGUGGGGGUUGGAAAGUUUCGGCGGUUGGGGAUGGACUGGCGGCUUAUCAGCUUGUUGGUGGGGUAGUGGCUUACCAAGGCUUUGACGGGUAGGCGGCCUGAGAGGGUGACCGGCCACAUUGGGACUGAGAUACGGCCCAGACUCCUACGGGAGGCAGCAGUGGGGAAUAUUGCACAAUGGGCGGAAGCCUGAUGAAGCAACGCCGCGUGCGGGAUGACGGCCUUCGGGUUGUAAACCGCUUUAGCCUGUGACGAAGCGUGAGUGACGGUAAUGGGUAAAGAAGCACCGGCUAACUACGUG
rnacentral:rRNA from 1 species